rnacentral:lncRNA from 1 species
CUUUUCAUUCCCGUUGUCAUGGAGGGCCACAUCUGCCAGAGCCUGGAGUCUGCGAAGGCCGGGACCCGGUUCCCCGGCCCGCCGUGGGGAGUGUGCAAACCCGAGAGAACUGGAUUGCGUACCCACUGCAGAGGGCUGAAGACGGGGUAGCCACGAGGUUGCAAAUUCGUGAAGAAUCAGCAGCAUGUUUGGCAGCUGAGUAUUGGAGCCAGGAGCCUGCCAUGAGGUUUUGAGAACAGGGUGCUGUUUUAGAGCUGGCAGCAGCAUCUCAGCCCAAGAGAAGGUUAUAUUCCCAGAGGAUGUCAGUCCCAAGGACCAGUAGCUGCCAUCAGUUUGGAUUCUGAAAACUAACCGGCAUCAACAUUGGGUGUAGAAACAUGCUUGCCUUGUGUAUCAGAGGACAUGCUCAGCAGAUCCAAGAGAUAUAUUUGGCAACUUUUUCUAGAAAAGGCACAUUAGGUAUCAUUCAUUACAUUCUUGAGUUUUUUUGGGGUUUUUUUUUUUUUUGAGACAGUCUUGCUGUGUUGCCCAGGCUGGAGUGUGGUGGCACAAUCACAGCUCAUUGCAGCCUCAAUCACCCAGGCCUAAGCAAUCCUCCCACCUUGUAGCUGGGACUACAGCUCACAGCACACCUGGCUAAAAUUUUUUUUUGUUGAGACGGAUUCUCUAUGUUGCUCAGGCUGGUCUCAAGCUCCUGGGCUUAGAUGGUCCUCCUGCCUCAGCUUCCAAAGGCACAGGCCAAGUUGUAGCUUUGUCCCUUGCCAUCAUGCCCAACAAGAGGUUCUAUACCUUUUAAUGAACUGACUUUCAUAAAUUGGUUAUGUUGGUGGGCAAGUUCUUUAAGCUGGAAAUUGUAAAUUCCUCCUGAAAUGUUUUUUCAUGCAGUUACCAUGAACUAAUACUACAAUAAAGGAUGGUCUUGGGUGUCAAUUCUU